rnacentral:rRNA from 1 species
AGAGUUUGAUCCUGGCUCAGGAUGAACGCUGGCGGCAUGCCUAAUACAUGCAAGUCGAACGAGAGGAAGGAGAGCUUGCUUUUCUGAAUCUAGUGGCGAACGGGUGAGUAACACGUAGGUAACCUGCCCAUGUGCCCGGGAUAACUUCUGGAAACGGAUGCUAAAACCGGAUAGGUAGCAGACAAGCAUUUGACUGCUAUUAAAGUGGCUAUGGCCAUGAACAUGGAUGGACCUGCGGUGCAUUAGCUAGUUGGUGAGGUAACGGCCCACCAAGGCGACGAUGCAUAGCCGGCCUGAGAGGGCGGACGGCCACAUUGGGACUGAGACACGGCCCAAACUCCUACGGGAGGCAGCAGUAGGGAAUUUUCGUCAAUGGGGGGAACCCUGAACGAGCAAUGCCGCGUGAGUGAGGAAGGUCUUCGGAUCGUAAAGCUCUGUUGUAAGAGAAAAACGGCACUCAUAGGGAAUGAUGAGUGAGUGAUGGUAUCUUACCAGAAAGUCACGGCUAACUACGUGCCAGCAGCCGCGGUAAUACGUAGGUGGCGAGCGUUAUCCGGAAUUAUUGGGCGUAAAGAGGGAGCAGGCGGCACUAAGGGUCUGUGGUGAAAGAUCGAAGCUUAACUUCGGUAAGCCAUGGAAACCGUAGAGCUAGAGUGUGUGAGAGGAUCGUGGAAUUCCAUGUGUAGCGGUGAAAUGCGUAGAUAUAUGGAGGAACACCAGUGGCGAAGGCGACGAUCUGGCGCAUAACUGACGCUCAGUCCCGAAAGCGUGGGGAGCAAAUAGGAUUAGAUACCCUAGUAGUCCACGCCGUAAACGAUGGAUACUAAGUGUCGGAGUUAUUCGGUGCUGAAGUUAACACAUUAAGUAUCCCACCUGAGUAGUACGGUCGCAAGGCUGAAACUCAAAGGAAUUGACGGGCACCCGCACAAGCGGUGGAGCAUGCUGUUUAAUUCGAAGAUACGCGAAGAACCUUACCUGGGCUUGACAUCCCACUGACCGUCUUAGAAAUAAGAUUUUCCUUUUGGGGACAGUGGUGACAGGUGGUGCAUGGUUGUCGUCAGCUCGUGUCGUGAGAUGUUCGGUUAAGUCCGCUAACGAGCGCAACCCUUGUCAUUAGUUACUAACAUUUGGUUGAGAACUCUAAUGAGACUGCCGGUAAUAAACCGGAGGAAGGUGGGGAUGACGUCAAAUCAUCAUGCCCCUUACGUCUUGGGCUACAGGCGUGCUACAAUGGCUGGUACAAUGAGUCGCGAUCCCGCGAGGAGGAGCAAAUCUAAAAAGCCAGUCGUAGUUCGGAUUGAAGUCUGCAACUCGACUUCAUGAAGCUGAAAUCGCUAGUAAUCCUGGAUCAGAAUGCCAGGGUGAAUACGUUCUCGGGUGUUGUACACACCGCCCGUCAAGGCAUGGGAGUCGGUAAUAUCCGAAGUAGGUAGCCUAACCCGCAAGGGAGGGGGCCUCCUAAGAUAGGACCGGUGACUGGGCUUAAGUCGUAACAAGGUAUCCCUACGGGAACGUGG